AGGUGUAGCGCAGUUGGUAGCGCGCGUGGUUUGGGACCAUGAGGUCGGGGGUUCAAAUCCCUUCACCU
rnacentral:tRNA from 1 species